ACAAAAACUGAGAUUUUACCUAAGAAACUGAAAUCGCGGAAUUCCAGAGCAGGAAAAUAUUUCGAGAUCAACUGUUCUUUAAUACCCUUUUCAUUUGACAGACAAGGAAACAGAAGCCGAGAGAUGGAAUAUUGCAUACAAGGUUGCACAGCAAGUGUGAUGGGUGGUGACUUAUACCUCAACCCCAACCUUGCAAGUUGGCCAUGUGGUUGUGACAUUUCUUCAUGCCAUUCUCAGAACACCAGUGAACAAAAACGAUGUUGUUUGGGUAGAUUAGCAUUCCUGGGGUUUGAGUCUUUAAAAUGUGGUUGUUUAGAAGUUUGAGAGAGGUUAGUCUUACAGAAAAGCACCUUGGGUUUUGCAUGGCCAUGUUAGCAGGACAAGCAGCACCCAUAGGCUAUCCUGAGUUCCUGACACCAGUGACCUUCCCGGGUUUGGCCCAGCAUGCUUCUCUGUUCCCAACCAGAGCAUGGCUUGGGUAGUGUCCCACUUGCUGGUUUUUGUGCUGGCCUCCACACUGGACCUUGAGAUGCCCUGCCUGUGUAUCAUUUGGCAGCUCAUCUGGCCCCAAAGACCUGAGCAGAUCUGUCCUCUUCCUGCCUGGCCUGCCUCCAAAGUCUGAUGCCUGGUCCUUGUCUUGAUGUUGGCUUGAACUGGACAGUUUCUGUCAUUAUCCUGGCCACACAUUCAAGGUUACUUGAUGGAGAUGCCCUGAGGACUUUGGGAAUCUACAGCGUCUGCCGCAUGCCAGAUAUGACCUCACAGUGAUAAAAAAGUACGUUCUUAGUUCCUGUCCAAAUGUUAGACGACACCAGCAGAAGAACAGCAAAGCCUAGUCUGGGUCAUUUCCUAUGACUACAAAAUCAUUAGAUACAAAAAGGUUGUUCUGCCUUUCUGGAACUUGCAACUCUGAGGCUUCAGCAAGAGGGCGACGCCUGAGCCCCUGCCCAUUUCUCCAAGCAUGCAGGCAUUAUAUAACUGCAUUGACAAACAGCCACCUGUCUCUGGCAGUGUGACCUGAAACCCAUUCUCUGAGACUUGUCUGCGGGCUCUCAGUAUACACUGUAACCGAGGAAAUGCAUGCUUUACAGAUGUUUAUCUCCUAAUUAAGAAUCUGAUGUGCCACUUACGGUAAUGUACUUGCUCAUGCUAAUAGUUUCUCUUUCCUCAGAGGAUCUGCCAGGGCGGAUUUGA